AUUGAACGCUGGCGGCAGGCUUAACACAUGCAAGUCGAGCGGGGGAAGGUAGCUUGCUACCGGACCUAGCGGCGGACGGGUGAGUAAUGCUUAGGAAUCUGCCUAUUAGUGGGGGACAACAUCUCGAAAGGGAUGCUAAUACCGCAUACGUCCUACGGGAGAAAGCAGGGGAUCUUCGGACCUUGCGCUAAUAGAUGAGCCUAAGUCGGAGUUAGCUAGUUGGUGGGGUAAAGGCCUACCAAGGCGACGAUCUGUAGCGGGUCUGAGAGGAUGAUCCGCCACACUGGGACUGAGACACGGCCCAGACUCCGACGGGAGGCAGCAGUGGGGAAUAUUGGACAAUGGGGGGAACCCUGAUCCAGCCAUGCCGCGUGUGUGAAGAAGGCCUUAUGGUUGUAAAGCACUUUAAGCGAGGAGGAGGCUACUUUAGUUAAUACCUAGAGAUAGUGGACGUUACUCGCAGAAUAAGCACCGGCUAACUCUGUGCCAGCCGCCGCGGUAA
rnacentral:rRNA from 1 species